rnacentral:lncRNA from 1 species
UUAACUGACAAACUCAUUUUUCUACUGGGACAGGAUGCUGUGCUGGCUGAAGUUCCAUUUCUACAGCAAGAAUCCUAUCUGGAAGCACAGAAGUUGUCCUCUAGCCACAGCAGCUCCAACUUUUUUGUUGUUGCUGCUUUCUUCUAUCACCCCCUUCCCCUUUUGACAAAGAUCCAACUGUAGAAAGUCUUACGUAACAGUUCAGGACUACUUCGGUUCUUUUACCGGUGAAAUGAAGCUGUGAUAAUGUGGUAAAUAUGGGGAGACACCAAGCUGUGACUCUUGAGGACUUCAGCAGCACUGAAAUGCAACACUGUGGGCUUUGGCAGCUGCAUUCCGUACUCUGAAAUUCUUAUAUCAUUACUCUGGCAAACAAGAAGGAAUUUGCUUGUUUGAUUUAGCUCUGCAGUAAAGGUUCAAAUCUGAGACUGGUAAAGGAAGGAGGAAGCAGCAUAACCAACUAAUACUGGAACAAUGAACUCUGGUGUUCAAGUUCUGGCUAUGGAACUCUGGGUAAGUCUCUA